GACGAACGCUGGCGGCGUGCUUAACACAUGCAAGUCGAACGGAAAGGCCCUGCUUUGGUGGGGUGCUCGAGUGGCGAACGGGUGAGUAACACGUGAGUAAUCUGCCCUUGACUCUGGGAUAACUGCCGGAAACGGCGGCUAAUACCGGAUAGGAGCUGCUGCGGCAUGGUGGGGGGUGGAAAGUUUCGGCGGUUGGGGAUGGACUCGCGGCCUAUCAGCUUGUUGGUGUGGUAGUGGCUUACCAAGGCUUUGACGGGUAGCCGGCCUGAGAGGGUGACCGGCCACACUGGGACUGAGAUACGGCCCAGACUCCUACGGGAGGCAGCAGUGGGGAAUAUUGCACAAUGGGCGGAAGCCUGAUGCAGCAACGCCGCGUGCGGGACGACGGCCUUCGGGUUGUAAACCGCUUUCGCCUGGGAAGAAGCGUGAGUGACGGUAACGGGUAAAGAAGCACCGGCUAACUACGUG
rnacentral:rRNA from 1 species